GAUCAUGGCUCAGGACGAACGUUGGCGGCGUGCUUAACACAUGCAAGUCGAACGGGAGUAUUGAAGAAGCUUGCUUUAGAGAUACUUAGUGGCGGACGGGUGAGUAACGCGUGAGGAGCUGUCCUAUGCAGGGGGACAACAGCUGGAAACGGCUGCUAAUACCCCAUAAGCCGAGAGGUAAAAGGAUCAAUCCGGCAGAGGAGGUACUCGCGUCCUAUCAGCUAGUAGGUGAGGUAACGGCUCACCUAGGCGAAGACGGGUAGCCGGCCUGAGAGGGCGAACGGCCACACUGGAACUGAGAUACGGUCCAGACUCCUACGGGAGGCAGCAGUGGGGAAUAUUGGGCAAUGGGGGAAACCCUGACCCAGCGACGCCGCGUGGGUGAAGAAAUCCUUCGGGAUGUAAAGCCCUGUUGUAUGGGAAGAGCGGAAGACGGUACCAUACGAGGAAGCCCCGGCAAACUACGUGCCAGCAGCCGC
rnacentral:rRNA from 1 species